CAAGAGAUCUUUCUUGUACAUUUGUACACAAAAAUAAGUCUCAAAUAGAAAAUUACAUUAAUGGCUCGAUCCUUUAAACUGUUUGUCACUAUGUCCCUUUUGUUGGUCCUCCUUACUUCUCCUGAGAUGGGUCCAAUGAUGCUUGGAGAAUCAUCACGACAAUGUGAUCCAACUACCAAGAUUUGCAUGAACGCUAGUAAUUGCACUAAAUAUUGCCGUAAUAAACGUUUUAUGCGCUAUGAUGGAGGUGAAUGCUACGAAUUAAAUUGUUGCUGCUAUCCACCGAAGCCACCGGAUUCACCGGAGGAGUAAUACAAUAAUUGUGGUACGGUGAUUGUGGGGAGUUUUGGGUUUUACAAUCAAGCUUCAAAUGGCUCCUCUAAAGUGAUUGGAAAUAAAACUCUGAGGGGAUUAGUAUUUGUUGUUUUAUUACAAAAUAUUUCUUUCUUUUUAGCAUUAUAUUAUAGCUUUAUGUAUUUUACGUAAGAGUAUCGUGAUUGAAUACAACAUAAUAUACGUGAAGUGCAGCAUUGAGUUUGUUAAAUGUACACUUUUGAUUGAACACUACCAAAUAAUGUAUGUUGUGACAUAUACAAGUGUAUUCGAUUA